UACGUAGGGGCAAGCGUUGUCCGGAAUGACUGGGCGUAAAGGGCGUGUAGGCGGCCGAUUAAGUCUGGAGUGAAAGUCCUGCUUUCAAGGUGGGAAUUGCUUUGGAGACUGGUUGGCUUGAGUGCGGAAGAGGCAAGUGGAAUUCCCAGUGUAGCGGUGAAAUGCGUAGAGAUUGGGAGGAACACCAGUGGCGAAGGCGACUUGCUGGGCCGUAACUGACGCUGAGGCGCGAAAAGCGUGGGGAGCGAACAGGAUUAGAUACCCGUGUAGU
rnacentral:rRNA from 1 species